GAUGAACGCUGGCGGCGUGCCUAAUACAUGCAAGUCGAGCGAACGGACGAGAAGCUUGCUUCUCUGAUGUUAGCGGCGGACGGGUGAGUAACACGUGGAUAACCUACCUAUAAGACUGGGAUAAAUUCGGGAAACCGGAGCUAAUACCGGAUGAUAUUUUGAACCGCAUGGUUCAAAAGUGAAAGACGGUCUUGCUGUCACUUAUAGAUGGAUCCGCGCUGCAUUAGCUAGUUGGUAAGGUAAUGGCUUACCAAGGCAACGAUGCAUAGCCGACCUGAGAGGGUGAUCGGCCACACUGGAACUGAGACACGGUCCAGACUCCUACGGGAGGCAGCAGUAGGGAAUCUUCCGCAAUGGGCGAAAGCCUGACGGAGCAACGCCGCGUGAGUGAUGAAGGUCUUCGGAUCGUAAAACUCUGUUAUUAGGGAAGAACAUAUGUGUAAGUAACUGUGCACAUCUUGACGGUACCUAAUCAGAAAGCCACGGCUAACUACGUG
rnacentral:rRNA from 1 species